AUGCAAAGACGAUCCAAACCCCUGUCUCUUUAUUGCUACACCAACAUUGCACACAGAAAAAAGCAGCAUGCCAAGAAACCCAAAUACGAUUGGCUACGGCCUACGGCCAUGCCAUGCAUGCACGCUAACACAACGCACGGGCGGGCAGCUAGCCUGCUUGCCGACCACCGAACCAUCAGAUCAAGCGGAAGCGGCGAAGCCCUCCUCCUCGACGGCGGCGUCCACGGCAGCGUCGGUGCCCUGGGCGUUGGUCCUGAAGCAGCUGAAGCGCCGGAUCUCGCCCACGUUGCCGGCCGGCUUGGGCACCCUGGCGAGCUUCUCCAUGGACCUGGCGAACUGCCCGAAGAAGGCCUCCUUGCUCUCGGCGAACCGCUUCACGAUGGGCGCGGUGGUCUUGUUCUUCACGAGGGCCAUGUCGGAGGUGAACACGCCCUGGUUGAAACCCAGCGCCUUGUAGUACGCGUUGUCGAACAGGUCCGGGGUGAUCACGUCCAGGUUCUGCAGCCGGUCCGGGUGCUUGCUGCAGUUGGCGGCGAGCUUGCGGGAGAAGGUGUCGUCGGCGCGCUGGGACCGGUCUUCGAAGCUGCCGCACUGCGACCGCCCGAUGGUGUGCGCGCCGGAGAGCGCCACGAGGUCGGCCACGUCGCCGAGGCCCCUGGUGCCGAAGGACUCCACCAGCGUCGCCACGCUGGCCGUGUUGGGCGCCGGGAGGUCGAACACCUUGGCCUGCGCCGCGGGGGCGAGGCUGUCGAGGUUUCCCUGCGGCACGUUGAACCAGGGCCCGCCGGAGAUGACGAUGAUGUCGCGGGUGGCGAGCAGGGUGAUGUCGGCGCAGGAGACGACGGGCCCGCACACGGCGUGCGCCCUGGCGCGGAUGGACUCGAUGAGCUGCAUGGCGCGCGGCUGGAUGGUGAGGUUGGGGCCGAGCGCGGUCUCGCGGGCGGCCGUGUUGUUGAGGAGGAUGGAGGCGUCGCAGCCCUGCGGGAAGCAGUCGUGGAAGUAGAGGCGGAGCAUGCCCGCCGCCACGGCCACCUCCUGCCGCAGCGCCGCCUCCACGGACGACCACACGAUGCCGUCCAGCUGCGUGCACGACGCCGCGUGGAAGUCCGGGGAGGCGUCGCCGGUGAAGACGGGCAGGGACAUGGCCGGGGAGAGCAGCGCGGCCGCGGUGACCAGGACGGCCAGUAUUGCUGA
rnacentral:rRNA from 1 species